rnacentral:misc_RNA from 1 species
UUUUUUUGUUUUAUAUUUUGUUACAUACUUUAACAGUGUUUAUAGUAAAGCCGCGUCUGGUUUCACUCUCUUGCGAGAGUGUCCCCUUCAGCGAUAAUGGUGCACAGAGUUAGAAGUGGAGGUUCGCCCAGUCUUGCGACUCGGGCUAUAAUUCACUAAUGAUCCUUCCGCAGGUUCACCUACGGAAA